UACGGAGGGUGCAAGCGUUAUCCGGAUUCACUGGGUUUAAAGGGUGCGUAGGUGGGCAGGUAAGUCAGUGGUGAAAUCUCCGGGCUUAACUCGGAAACUGCCAUUGAUACUAUCUUUCUUGAAUACCGUGGAGGUUAGCGGAAUAUGUCAUGUAGCGGUGAAAUGCUUAGAUAUGACAUAGAACACCAAUUGCGAAGGCAGCUUACUACACAGUUAUUGACGCUGAGGCACGAAAGCGUGGGGAUCAAACAGG
rnacentral:rRNA from 1 species